rnacentral:sRNA from 2 species
UAUUCUGCCCCACAGGGAAGGAUGAGAAGCUUCGACUGGGGAAGGUUCGACUCGAGCGUAGCGAGAGAACGUUGCCGCAAGCAACGGCCCGAAGGGCGAGGCGCUUUAGCGCCGAGUCAUCCUUCCCCCACUACUG